CUUUACUGUAGCCUGGUAUUGGGUUCGGGCUUUGACUGCGCAGGAUAGGUGGGAGACUGAGAAGUGUGCCUUGUAGGGCACAUGGAGUCAACGGUGAGAUACCACUCUGUCAGAGCUAGAAUUCUAACCUUCACCCGUAAUCCGGGGAAGGAACCGUAUCAGGUGGGCAGUUUGACUGGGGCGGUCGCCUCCUAAAAGGUAACGGAGGCGCGCAAAGGUGUUCUCAGGCUGGUGGGAAAUCAGCCGUAGAGUGUAAAGGCAGAAGAACGCUUGACUGUGAGAGUGACAACUCAAGCAGGGUGGAAACACGGCGUUAGUGAUCCGACGGUAUGCGCGUGGAAGUGCCGUCGCUCAACGGAUAAAAGUUA
rnacentral:rRNA from 1 species